rnacentral:rRNA from 1 species
UGGGGAAUAUUGCACAAUGGGUGAAAGCCUGAUGCAGCGACGCCGCGUGAGGGAUGACGGCCUUCGGGUUGUAAACCUCUUUCAGUAGGGACGAAGCGCAAGUGACGGUACCUGCAGAAGAAGCACCGGCUAACUACGUGCCAGCAGCAGCGGUAAUACGUAGGGUGCGAGCGUUGUCCGGAAUUACUGGGCGUAAAGAGCUCGUAGGCGGUUUGUCACGUCGUCUGUGAAAUCCUAGGGCUUAACCCUGGACGUGCAGGCGAUACAGGCUGACUUGAGUACUACAGGGGAGACUGGAAUUUCUGGUGUAGCGGUGGAAUGCACAGAUAUCAGGAAGAACACCGAUGGCGAAGGCAGGUCUCUGGGUAGUAACUGACGCUGAGGAGCGAAAGCAUGGGUAGCGAACAGG